rnacentral:rRNA from 1 species
GACGAACGCUGGCGGCGUGCUUAACACAUGCAAGUCGAACGAUGAUGCCCAGCUUGCUGGGUGGAUUAGUGGCGAACGGGUGAGUAACACGUGAGUAACCUGCCCCUGACUCUGGGAUAAGCGUUGGAAACGACGUCUAAUACUGGAUAUGACUGCCGGCCGCAUGGUCUGGUGGUGGAAAGAUUUUUUGGUUGGGGAUGGACUCGCGGCCUAUCAGCUUGUUGGUGAGGUAAUGGCUCACCAAGGCGACGACGGGUAGCCGGCCUGAGAGGGUGACCGGCCACACUGGGACUGAGACACGGCCCAGACUCCUACGGGAGGCAGCAGUGGGGAAUAUUGCACAAUGGGCGAAAGCCUGAUGCAGCAACGCCGCGUGAGGGAUGACGGCCUUCGGGUUGUAAACCUCUUUUAGUAGGGAAGAAGGGAGCUUGCUCCUGACGGUACCUGCAGAAAAAGCACCGGCUAACUACGUGCCAGCAGCCGCGGUAAUACGUAGGGUGCAAGCGUUGUCCGGAAUUAUUGGGCGUAAAGAGCUCGUAGGCGGUUUGUCGCGUCUGCUGUGAAAUCCCGAGGCUCAACCUCGGGCUUGCAGUGGGUACGGGCAGACUAGAGUGCGGUAGGGGAGAUUGGAAUUCCUGGUGUAGCGGUGGAAUGCGCAGAUAUCAGGAGGAACACCGAUGGCGAAGGCAGAUCUCUGGGCCGUAACUGACGCUGAGGAGCGAAAGCAUGGGGAGCGAACAGGAUUAGAUACCCUGGUAGUCCAUGCCGUAAACGUUGGGCGCUAGAUGUAGGGACCUUUCCACGGUUUCUGUGUCGUAGCUAACGCAUUAAGCGCCCCGCCUGGGGAGUACGGCCGCAAGGCUAAAACUCAAAGGAAUUGACGGGGGCCCGCACAAGCGGCGGAGCAUGCGGAUUAAUUCGAUGCAACGCGAAGAACCUUACCAAGGCUUGACAUACACCGGAAACGGCCAGAGAUGGUCGCCCCCUUGUGGUCGGUGUACAGGUGGUGCAUGGUUGUCGUCAGCUCGUGUCGUGAGAUGUUGGGUUAAGUCCCGCAACGAGCGCAACCCUCGUUCUAUGUUGCCAGCGCGUUAUGGCGGGGACUCAUAGGAGACUGCCGGGGUCAACUCGGAGGAAGGUGGGGAUGACGUCAAAUCAUCAUGCCCCUUAUGUCUUGGGCUUCACGCAUGCUACAAUGGCCGGUACAAAGGGCUGCGAUACCGUAAGGUGGAGCGAAUCCCAAAAAGCCGGUCUCAGUUCGGAUUGAGGUCUGCAACUCGACCUCAUGAAGUCGGAGUCGCUAGUAAUCGCAGAUCAGCAACGCUGCGGUGAAUACGUUCCCGGGCCU